CAUGUGCGCACGGAUCAUUUCCCUCAACAAAGAUGGUGGCAAUCAAUCAGGUCUAACCCUACAGUUCUGAGGAAUAGUCAUUAGACCCGAAACAUUAACUCUGAUUUUCCCUUCACGGAUGCUGCCAGGCCUGCUGAGCUUUUGCAGCAACUUCGGUUUUUGUUCCUGCUUUGCAGCAUCGCAGUUCUUUUGGUUUGGCGUUUCCCCGGUUGCUCUAAACGCCGGACUAGGCGCCCAAGCCUCAGCCACACCGCAGCGCGCAAAGAUGAUCAAGUGGUUUAUUCUACUUCACUCCGAUUGGUUGGUUGGAGGUCCAGCCCGGUCUUCCAACCCGCCCCGUCCUCCUAUUGGUUCUGCGCUGACAUCAAUCACUAGGACCUCAAGCGUGUCACGCGCAGUCUUCCGGUAUUUGCAGUUGUUCAUCGGCGUCAAUGCGUGUUCGUUCUGAGUUGGGAAGAAACGUGUAAUUCCUGAUUCAACGAAUGCCUUUCAGAUUCCCCAGCAUCUUCUCCUUUUGAUAGCCACGAAAGUGAUCUGACUUUCUUGAAGAUAGAGAUAUCAAGAUGUACAGCUGGAUGAACACAGCAGGCCAAGCAGCAACAAAGGAGCAGGAAAGCUGAUGUUUCAGGCCUGGACCCUCCUUCAGAAAUAAGGUUCUGGAUAUGCAAAGAGGAGGAUUUGAAGUCAGGAUACUGAAACCGAACACCAUGAUCUGAUGGCGUCACCUAAUUUAUCACAACCAGACUGUCAACAGAUUUUAAACAUAGGAAGAAAAAGCACCAUUCAUGGUGGCGAGAACAGAUACACAUGUUCUGUGCGCAUAAAAGGCUUCACAACAAUCAACUGACUGACAGAACCAUAAAUGCAGUUACAUUAGGGAGAAACCAUGGAAAUGCAGGACUAUAAGAAAUGAUUCAGUUGCCGCUCUGGGCUGAACAUUCACCAAUGUGUUCACAUUGAGAGGCCAUUCAUCUGCUCCCUUUUUGGGAGGGGAUUCACUCAGUUAUCCACCCUGUGGAAACACAAGUGAGUGCACACUGAGGAGAGACCUUUUUAAAUAUACAGACUGUGUGAAGUGCUGUAAAAAUUCUAAUGAGCUGAUAUCCCAUCAGCAUGUUCACACUGACAAGAGACUGUUCAGGUGCUCCCCGUAUGGAACUGGGUUCAACAGAUCAUCCUAACUCACUCUACACCAGUGUCUUCACAGAGAUUAUUCAUCUGUUCUGAAUGUGGGCAGGUAUUCAUUUAGUUCUCCAGCCUGUUGACGCACCAGCCAAUUCAUUCUGGGGGAGAGACAACUUAGCAACACUUAGUGUGAGAAAGGAUGUUGUGAGUCAUCCCUGCUCAUGGCACACCAGCGAGUUCACACUGAGAACAGACCUUUCAAAUGUCCAGACAGAAAGAUUUUAUAAAAGCUCCUGAGAGCUAAAGUUACACCAAUGUGUUCACACUAACAAUAGACCAUUCAGGUGCUUUCUUUGUUGGCCUAAGUUCAGAUGGUCAUCUUGUCUCACUGUAUUUCAGCACACUCACACUGGAGAGAGACUGUUCACUCCCUCCAGGUGUGCGAAGGGUUUCACUCAGAAAAUACACCUCCUGACCCACUAGUGAAUUCACCACUUUUAAAUGCACAAAAUACAGGAUGUGCUUUGCAAGAUCCUGGCAUUUGAUACACAUCAAUGUGUUCACUCUAAUGAAGGGCUUUUUAAAUGUCCAGACUGAUGGAAGUGUUUUCAAAAGCUCUGGGGAACUGAUGCUACGUCAAUGGUGUUCACACUGAUGAGAGACCAUUCAGAUGCACUCACUGUUGGAUUAGGUUCAGAUGACCAUCUCAAAUCACUGUGUACCAGUGAGUUCACACUGGAGAGAAGCCAUUCAUCUGCACUGAAUGUUGUAAAGGAUUCACUCAGAAACCCCACCUUGUGGUGCACCUUCAGAGACAGCCACGAGUCCGUAGGUGAUUUUAGGAGCUGUAAUUUGUUGUUAUUUAUAUUCAGGUCAGAGGCAUGUUAAUAUCUCCAGCCCAGGUUUAGGAUGUAAAGCUAUGGAUAAAGAUAAUUAUUUGGAUUUUGCAUUGAAUGCACAGUCUGCUGAAUCUAUUUUAACAUCCAGAACAAUUUCUUGUGAAUAUAGAUCAGAAAAACAAAUGUCCCUGUAAUACACAUACUACAGUGGUAAUGGGUAACUUCAAUUUCUGUACAGACUGUGAGAACCAAAUCAGCAUGAAUGCUGUGGAGGGUCAAUUUUUGCAGUUUGCACUGAAGCAUUUUAGAUAUCAGCUUCAGGUUGAGAAUUCUGCAAAGAGAAGGGUCAUUAAUAACCUUAUUGUUAAGGAGCCUUUGUUAAAUAGUGACCAUAAUGUGGAAUUUUAAUCAAGUUUAAAAGUGCUACAGAGACAAAAAUAGAAUAAGCAGGAAAAGCUCAGCAGGUUUGGCAGUAUCUGUGGAGAGAAAUCAGAGUUUGUGUUUCAUCUCAAGUGACCCUUUGUCAGUUCUGAGGAGUACUCCCAUCUAUUUUUGUCUCUGAUCUACAGCAUCUGCAGUUCUUUCAGCUUUGGAAGUGAUAUAGUUCGUUCUAGAAUUAUGGUCUCAUCAGAACAAUGGAAACUAUAGAAUGGCAAGUUGUCUGUGAUUGGCAAAAAACAGAAAAUGAUUUGAAAGUACACACGUAUUAGCAAAUAUGUGAAUAAGUAUUGCAUAGUUUACAACAAUUAUGCAUUUGUUGAAGAAAUAAAUAUGCAGCGAGAAAAAAAUAAAUUAGAUGUGGCUGACAGGCUACAUUAGAUCCAAGGAGGUGGUCUGUAAGAUUGCAAGAAAAAGCGAUGAACCAGGGGAUUGGGAGUAAUCUAUAAUCCAAUAAAGGAUGACCCCAAACUGAUGGAAGGGGAAAAAAGAAGAUGCAUAGAAACUCUCAACAAAUGUAAAGGUGGACUGUUAAAAUUGCCAUGGUGUUUGAAAUGCAAAAACCGGUUGGUUUGGCACCCCCAACUAUCAACUUCAACAUUCACUCCAUCAUCACUGAUGCACAGUUGCAGAAGUAUGUGCCAUCUCCAAGAUGCAUAACAAUAAUUCCUUCAAAACAACCUUCUGAUGAUUUUGAAAAUUGAGAAAUACAGUGGAUGCAUGGGAACAACACAAUGCAACUUCUCUCUCAAAGCAUAUGCAGUGUGACUUGGAACAAAAUCACCUUCUUUCAGGAUCACUGGGUCAAUAACAUGGAACUCUGUUCCAAAUAGAACUGUGGGUGCUCCGAUACCCAAGGGACAUCAAACAUUCAAGAAGGCAGCUCCCCACCACUUUCUACUGGGCAAUUAUGGUUUGGCAAUAAAUGCUAGCAGUGCCAGCAACACCCCCAUCCCGUGAAUGAAUAAAAAUUAUACGAGCAAUACUUUACUGAAAUUGAGUAUUGUAAAGAAUAUUGCUAGGAAAAUGGAUUCAAUAGCUUUUUAUGUUAAUAUCUUUCAAAAUUGUCACAUACAGAUAGAGCCUAUUUUCCCUUUACUGCAAUAAACUUCCGUUGUUUUCAUAAACAAACAUUGGCAACCUUACAUGAAUAUAUUCAGUGACGCAAUUAUCUGAACUAAAUUUCAAAAAUAAAGUGUGUGAUUUAUCAAGCCAGGUUUCACUGAGAUUUAACUUGUGCACUAUUACCAUUAUCUGGGAUAAUAUUAUUUGGAGAAUGAGCAAUGAUUUCAAUGAAACCUCAGAAAUUCUUACAGUAUGGAUGUUGAUUGGAUUUCUCUUUUUGAUGUUGAGCCUAGAACCAGGAGACAUAGUCUCUAAAUAAAGUGUAUGCCAUUUUAGACCAGAAUGAGGAGGAACUUUUCACUCAGAUGGAAUUCAUUGAAGAUUUUCAGUCAUAAAACAAUAGAUUUCUGAAGGUGAAUGACACAAUAAGAAAUGGGAAUACUGCAGGAAAGAAAUGGUCAGCUAUGAUCUAAUGGAAUGAUGGAGCAGGCUCGGGGGCAAAAGGUCCAUUCCUGUUCCACGUUGAAGAGCUUUCCCCAUCUCCUCCAUUCUCAAGACUGAAUACAAGUGUGGAUCUCAUGGACUAAGUCAUUCAGAGUGAGUGCACCUGAUCAGUUACCUCUGCCCUAUCCCUCCCUACCCCGACUUUACCACCCAAAACUGCCUCUGAAGUUCUUCUAUGAACAUCAACUCAUAUCAUUUUCCAUUUCUGUCUUAUCUAAAUACUGCCAUGUCAGUGCUCAUCUUCUGAUUGCCUGAACUUGAUUCCUAGGGUGUCCUUCAAGGAUCUAUCAAUGGUCCCUCAUAUUUUUCAUCCACUGGGCAACAUCAGCUGAAAACAGUUCCAGAUGCAGAUGGAAAAGCAAAUGAAAACCUGUGCAUCCCAGCCACUCACGAUAUCAAAUACCACCUGCCUCGCUAAUGUCAGGGAUUGUGGAACCUAUAUUGAACUAUUUAAUCACUUCAACACUAGAGUGAAAGAAAAUCAUCCUCAAUCCCCAGUGACUGUUCAAGAGAAGGAUAGGAUUAAAAAAAAACCAUCAUUGUAAGUCCAGAAAAGUCAUUCAGGUUUCAGAGGGUGUGCGUGGAGUUGCUGGGAGUAGGUCUGGAAUCACAUCUGCAGAAAAAUGAGCAAAUUCACAAGUGAAUAUAGGUGUUUGAUCAGAGUUAACCAGCAACAACAUCUAGGCUGUUAGACAGCUGUUUCCAAACUCUCAAAGAUUUCUUACGUACAUAUGGAGAAAUGUGCCCCACGAAAUGGAAUGCCUCUUUCCUGCAUCACUCCUUUAGCCUCUUGUUUACUUCUCUGCUUUUCUAGAUUGCAAUGCUAAUUUGAACACAGGGUAAGAAUGCAGAGAUUAAACCUUUGAGAUUGUGCUAUGUAAUAGUCCCCAAACAGAAUCUCUUUACUACUGUUGCCAUUGUUGUUGGUCCCCACAUGGGCAACAACAUUGGAAUCCCAACCAACCUGACUGUAACAUCCUUUCAAACUGGUUUAAGAUUUUCCUUACCUUGGAAAUAGGCAAAUGACACAUUAUGCCUCUUGACCCUGACCAUAAUCACUGGCCAAAUUUGAACAACUUAACCUGGUGUGUAUGACUCUCUCAUGGAACACAAUAUCCAGGUAACACUCCCCUUCCCUGAAGUCAUGAGCUCAGGCUCAACUCAUCACAGCACACAUUGGAUAGAGACCAUUCACCUGCUGUGUGUGUGGGAAGGGAUUCAUCAAACCUUUUAACACACCAACAGAUUCAUGUUUAGAUUUUACAGUUAUUGCUGGUGUUAAGCAGACUCAGGGUUGAUCUUCUGACGAUUGUUUCUCCUGAAGUUAACAACCCUAUAACUGGCUGGAAUUUAAUUUCUGGAGACGUGGUUGAUUUAUGAAGCUGCAAUGUCCCCUUUAAAAAGCACCA